CUCAGCCAGAUCUGCAGCUCUCAGAAGGGACACACACUCCAGUGCUCCCUGGGGUAUGGCCUGGUUUCUUCUCCCUCACAGCCUUUUUCUGCCAAACUCAUCCUCAUCUGCAGUACUCAGACUGCAGGUCACCUCCUGAGAACCCCCUCCCUUUUCUGCACUGUUUCCUAAUUGCACUCCUGACCUGGGACCUGCCAGGUGCUGUAAGGAUUUGCUUACAGUCUGGCUUAGGAGGCUGUGAGCCCUGGGAGGAGUCGGGGGGUGAGGGGGAAGGGGUAGGGCUUUGUCUUUAUUCUUAUCAGGAGCAAUAGUGCUAGGGCUUGAUAAAUGGUCAUUGAGGGAGUCCACGGAUGCGGAAUUAGAACCUCGCCUCAGUAAGUUGCACAGGCGACCGACUGGACCCCACGGCCGUGAACAUCCUGCAGCAGAUCAUUGA
rnacentral:sRNA from 1 species